AAGGGGUAUUUCCCCUAGUAGCGGCGAGCGAAGCGGGAAGAGCUCAAAUUUGUAAUCUGGCGUGCUCAGUGCGUCCGAGUUGUAAUCUAUAGAAACGUUUUCCGUGCCGGACCGUGUCCAAGUCCCUUGGAACAGGGUAUCAAAGAGGGUGACAAUCCCGUACUUGACACGACGACCGGUGCUCUGUGAUACGUUUUCUACGAGUCGAGUUGUUUGGGAAUGCAGCUCAAAAUGGGUGGUAAAUUCCAUCUAAAGCUAAAUAUAGGCGAGAGACCGAUAGCGAACAAGUACCGUGAGGGAAAGAUGAAAAGCACUUUGGAAAGAGAGUUAAACAGUAUGUGAAAUUGUUGAAAGGGAAACGAUUGAAGUCAGUCAUGUUCAUUGGAUUCAGCUGGUUCUGCCAGUGUAUUUCCUUUGAACGGGUCAACAUCAGUUUGAGCCGGCGGAUAAUGGCAGAGGGAAUGUGGCACCUCCGGGUGUGUUAUAGCCCUUUGUCGCAUACGUCGGCCCAGACUGAGGAAUGCAGCUCGCCUUUAUGGCCGGGGUUCGCCCACGUACGAGCUUAGGAUGUUGGCAUAAUGGCUUUAAACGACCCGUCUUGAACCACGGGACC
rnacentral:rRNA from 1 species